UGGGCAUGGACUGUCGUUUCGACCCACUCACAGUGACAAUAUGACGAGUUUCGUGGUGUACAGGAGAUAAUUUCAGUUUUGCUAUGGCAUCUUGGGAGAUAAAGUUUCUCCCUGACCCUGUGUCUAGAUAUGCCCACAAUGUCACGCCUUGUAUGUUCACAGGAAUUAUGGGUGGUAAUGUGGUAUCUGAGGGGGUAUACCCAGUUAGGAUGGGACCUUUCUUCCCGUCACACAGACUUGUAUGGUGUCUCCCUUUGCAUUUGAAACAACUCCCCCCAUGGCAAUUAUUCGCUCGAUGGCCAGAUUGACCACAAUUAUAGCACAGUUUAUUGUUCGUAAAGAACUUCCGGCGACUAUCUAAAUCCUUAAUAUCUUCACAACUGUCCGAGUAAUGCUCACCUCUGCAAAAGACACAUUUGGGGCUCUUCGGUUUUCCUCCACUAGCCUUUCCAGCAAACCAGUUCCGUUCUCUUCUCGAUGACUCUUCGCUAUGCUUCGAAUCGUUCGUCGUUUUAUUUCUAAGUAACCACUUCUGCAGG